rnacentral:rRNA from 1 species
UACGAAGGGGGCUAGCGUUGCUCGGAAUCACUGGGCGUAAAGGGUGCGUAGGCGGGGUCUUUAAGUCAGGGGUGAAAUCCUGGAGCUCAACUCCAGAACUGCCUUUGAUACUGAGGAUCUUGAGUUCGGGAGAGGUGAGUGGAACUGCGAGUGUAGAGGUGAAAAUUCGUAGAUAUUCGCAAGAACACCAGUGGCGAAGGCGGCUCACUGGCCCGAUACUGACGCUGAUGCACCGAAAGCGUGGGGAGCAAACAGG